CAAGUCGAACGAAGAGUGAGAAGCUUGCUUCUUAUGAUUGAGUGGAAACGGGUGAGUAACGCGUAAGCACCUGCCCUCUAGAUGGGGACAACAGCUGGAAACGGCUGCUAAUACCGAAUACGGUCGCAUGGCGGAAGGAGGCUUUCGAGCUUUCGCUGGAGGAGGGGCUUGCGUCUGAUUAGCUAGUUGGAGGGGUAACGGCCCACCAAGGCGACGAUCAGUAGCCGGUCUGAGAGGAUGAACGGCCACAUUGGGACUGAGACACGGCCCAGACUCCUACGGGAGGCAGCAGUGGGGGAUAUUGCACAAUGGGGGAAACCCUGAUGCAGCGACGCCGCGUGGAGGAAGAAGGUUUUCGGAUUGUAAACUCCUGUCGUUAGGGACGAUAUGACGGUACCUAACA
rnacentral:rRNA from 1 species